rfam:Acyrthosiphon pisum strain LSR1 Contig451, whole genome shotgun sequence.
UCCUUCGUGCUUAGGGAUCGUGGCUUGCAAUUUUUCCACGUGAACGAGGAAUUCCCAGUAAGCGCGAGUCAUCAGCUCGCGUUGAUUACGUCCCUGCCCUUUGUACACACCGCCCGUCGCUACUACCGAUUGAACGGUCGCAUUGAGGUCUUCGGAGUGGACGCGCGUUAUUCGGCCCCCUCGGGGGCUGGGUCGUCGCGCGAUCGCGAAGAUGACCGAAAUCGGCCGUUUAGAGGAAGUAAAAGUCGUAACAAGGUUUCCGUAGGUGAACCUGCGGAAGGAUCAUUA